AGAAUAUAAAAACAACUUUGAUAACAUUGAUUAAAUAUCCAAAUGAAUCCAAGUGCCCUCUUUGUAAAAAGCACAGAGACUACAGCAUCCUGCUACGUCACCUUCAGAGUCAUGAAGGCCACAUUGUCAAGUAUGCAGGUUUCCAAAGGACCAUUUUGUGGUGUCUCUGUAUUUCAUCCUCGAGGCCCCCUUCAAUUUUAAUGAGUUAUGUCUCAACUUUAGUCCUCUCUUCUUUCAUUGUAGUAUUUGUAGAGGGAGGAUUAUAUCUGGUUGCUGGUUCCGAUUUUUGUCACCUUAUACAAUUUGUGUUGGAUAUUUGUGUUAUGUUUAACUUAUUUUAUUAUAUUUGUUUUCUUUUUAAUUUCAACAUACUGUCCAUAGUGGUUUUGAAGUUCCAGAAACGCCUACCUUUCAAAAUCCAGAUCAUUUAAAUGUAUGUUUAUAAUGGUUUGCAUAAAUAUUUUUGUAACAUUAAACUCCUUUUAACAACGUGACUCUGCUCAGUCCUCUUUAGAAUGACAUGCUGGCUUUGCGGAAGAGCUGGUGUAGAAUGUUACUUGAGAACUCCAGCACCAAGGGGUUUAGACUUUAUUGAGCCAUUAAUGAGAAGACAGAGUAAAGACUUGGCACUACAUCUGAAAUGAACAAAUGUCUUGCUAUUCUGUUCCAUAGCACUGCAUUCUGCAGAUUUCAGAUUUUUUCUUUUAGAAGAAACGUCAGUGUCCCUUCUCCA